AACGAACGCUGGCGGCAGGCUUAACACAUGCAAGUCGAGCGCCCCGCAAGGGGAGCGGCAGACGGGUGAGUAACGCGUGGGAAUCUACCCAUCCCUACGGAAUAGCUCCGGGAAACUGGAAUUGAUACCGUAUACGCCCUACGGGGGAAAGAUUUAUCGGGGAUGGAUGAGCCCGCGUUGGAUUAGCUAGUUGGUGGGGUAAAGGCCUACCUAGGCGACGAUCCAUAGCUGGUCUGAGAGGAUGAUCAGCCACAUUGGGACGGAGACAUAGCCCAAACUCCUACGGGAGGCAGCAGUGGGGAAUAUUGGACAAUGGGGGCAACCCUGAUCCAGCCAUGCCGCGUGAGUGAUGAAGGCCUUAGGGUUGUAAAGCUCUUUCACCGGGGAAGAUAAUGACGGUACCCGGAGAAGAAGCCCCGGCUAACUUCGUGCCAGCCGCCGCGGUAACAC
rnacentral:rRNA from 1 species